GCACCCGAACCUACACCAACACCCGAAACAACCCAACCCGAACCUACCCAUACUACUACACCACCAGCUUCACCACCACCACCUUCUCCUGGUCAUGCUUCAGAGGGAGAAGAACCAUUCCUUGGCGGGGAAGAUAUGACGUUUGACUCGGUCUACUAUAGUCCGUUUCAAGUACAGAGUGAUGACGAUGACGACGCUCCUGUCACAAAAAGACAUCUCAAGGAGCUCCAUGACAAGAUUGACUUGCUCAUCGCCUCCUCUUCCACUUCUCAGUCAUCCCUUUCUGAAGAUGCAGUUCAGAAGAUUGUUGACGCCUUCUCUAAAGCUCAGCAAGAUUCCAUUGCUUCUGCAACCUCCGCCAUAGAUGCCUCAACAAAAGCCUGUCAGGCUGCGACCGAAAAAGUCGAUAAACUAUUUUCUGAUGCCUCUUCCCUGUUAAAGUCUUUACAGGAGAGUGCAAAUGCNNNNNNNNNNNNNNNNNNCUGCUGACAGCCGGAUUAUCCAGACGUACAAAGGGUUCAAGCGUUCUGGUCCGAGGGAUCUUACUCCAGAGAUGUUGAAGUCAAUACAUGACGCCGACAAGCCUGCUCCAAGAGGCAAAAAGGCUGAUAAGGGGAAACAGGUGGCAAAAGGAGCAAAAGGCCCAUCUCCAAAGAAGAGGAAACCCACCAAGCCUGCUCAGUCUCCACAGCAAAAGAGGAGAAAAACCCAACCACGACGAAAGUUAAUUAUCGCUUCCUCCUCAAGCGAGUCUGAGGGUGAGAGUUCAGAUUCUGAUGACUCUCCACGUGGCAACACUCCACCCAGAUCUCCUACCCCAGAAGUUCAUGCAUCUACUUCUCCAAUUUCCUCUCCACCUAAAACCAUUCCUAUUUCUAUUCCCCCCAUAACUUCCACUACUUCAAUACCACCCACUUCCAUCCCAAUACCAACACCAAUAUUCACCGACGCAACCACAACAUCCACUGCAGAUGUUAGAGCCAACGUAUCUGAUACGGGGGUUCAUACUGAUGCACCCGAAACCACUCCAGCACCCGAAACCACAAAAGCACCCGAACCUACACCAACACCCGAAACAACCCAACCCGAACCUACCCAUACUACUACACCACCAGCUUCACCACCACCACCUUCUCCUGGUCAUGCUUCAGAGGGAGAAGAACCAUUCCUUGGCGGGGAAGAUAUGACGUUUGACUCGGUCUACUAUAGUCCGUUUCAAGUACAGAGUGAUGACGAUGACGACGCUCCUAUCACAAAAAGACAUCUCAAGGAGCUCCAUGACAAGAUUGACUUGCUCAUCGCUUCCUCUUCCACUUCUCAGUCAUCCCUUUCUGAAGAUGCAGUUCAA
rnacentral:lncRNA from 1 species